rnacentral:rRNA from 1 species
GCCAGCUGCCAUAUCACCCUGCAGCUCUCAACUGGCUACCCACUGAAACUAAGCAGGGCUGAGCCUGGUUAAUACCUGGAUGGGAGACCUCCUGGGAAGCUAUGGUUGUGGCUAGAA